ensembl:lncRNA
AGAGAAAAUAGUGGAAAGAGAGAGGGCAGAGCAGACUGCAUUUCCAGACUGCGAGAUAGGGGCAUUAGACGGAGAAUCUACUAAGAGAGUUCAAGAGAGAAAGGAGGGGGAUCAUGGAGGAGUCAGCAGUGAGCGAUACACAUGUUUGCUAUUAGACAUUUCAUUUCUCUGACAGUAGAACUCCCUUUAGACCUCCGAGGCUAUCUGUCAUCAGCUUGAUUAAGACUCCAACCAUGUUAUAAUAACACACAAACCUGGCCUUUACGGACAGGUCUCAUUCCCUCUAGUCCUCCUCCAAAGAAUGAAAGGUAGAAAAAUCAA